rnacentral:rRNA from 1 species
AUUGAACGCUGGCGGCAUGCUUUACACAUGCAAGUCGAACGGUAACAGGCCGCAAGGUGCUGACGAGUGGCGAACGGGUGAGUAAUGCAUCGGAACGUGCCCAGUCGUGGGGGAUAACGCAGCGAAAGCUGCGCUAAUACCGCAUACGAUCUAUGGAUGAAAGCGGGGGACCGUAAGGCCUCGCGCGAUUGGAGCGGCCGAUGUCAGAUUAGGUAGUUGGUGGGGUAAAGGCUCACCAAGCCAACGAUCUGUAGCUGGUCUGAGAGGACGACCAGCCACACUGGGACUGAGACACGGCCCAGACUCCUACGGGAGGAAGCAGUGGGGAAUUUUGGACAAUGGGCGCAAGCCUGAUCCAGCAAUGCCGCGUGCAGGUAGAAGGCCUUCGGGUUGUAAACUGCUUUUGUACGGAACGAAAAGGCUCUGGAUAAUACCUGGGGCUCAUGACGGUACCGUAAGAAUAAGCACCGGCUAACUACGUGCCAGCCGCCGCCGUAACAC